rnacentral:lncRNA from 1 species
CUUAACUAUAUAUUUACCACUCUAUUAUGAAGUCAUCUUCUAGUGUAUGUUUUGCACUGCAGCCAUCACCCCUGGAUUCUGGAUGCAGAAGGAACAUUGUGGACAAGGGAUGGGGAGGAAGUAGAAAUAUGGUUCCAGUCUGGGGCUGAGUUUCAUCUUCCAAUCCAGAUGGCUUUGUCAAACUUGUAUUUGUCCCUGGGGUAAAGGGCUUCAAUGCUGAGCAUCGAGCAUAAGGAGUUGGAGAAAGAGAUGUGGGUGAUUUACCUCUGCCAUAGAUAUCGGAUUGGCAAAAAUAAAUGAAUUUCAUCUGAAGAGAAUUAACACAAGCAUACACAUAUACACAGGAGUGCACAUAAAAAUUAAUCUUCAAGAGGAUAGAAACAGGGGAUGGUGUAGUUCCUGCCAUGAAGUACAGAUCAACUGGUACCAGAGAUUCAAAAUUGUGGAAUGGAUCAUGGGGAUUUCUCUCUUCCCUGUCAUAAAGAGUAAUUCAAUCAGGAAAACUGACAUGCAUUGUUGUAUUGUGGGUGCAACAGCUGAGAAGAUGAAAAAGACAUAGAGAAAGGGGAUAUUGGAAAUAAAAGGAUGUUAAAAUGAUAUAAUUUUUAAGAAGGUUGAGAAGGAAUAUGGGAUAUUUAUAUUCCUCUAAAUUUGAUAGAUAAUGAUGUCCACAAAGAAGAGUUUGCUGAAAUAAUUUUAAAUUUUGGUGAGCACAGACUAUCAAUGCCAAACGCAAUGGGUAAUUUUCUGUGUCAGCUUGGCUAGGCUGUGAUCUCCAAGUGUUUGUUCAAACAGCAAUCGUAGAUGUCCUUGUGAAGGUAUUUUUAGGUAAGAUUAACAUUUAAAUCAGUAGUCUUUGAGUAAAGCAGAUGACCUGCAAUAAUGUGAGUGGGUCUCAAAUUUGUUUUAAGUUGAAGGCCUUAAGAGAGAAAGAUUAAGGUCAUCCAUGAAAGAGGGAAUUCUGCUACCAGAUUGCAUUUGGACUCAAGCUGCAAUAUCAGCUCUUCCCUGGGUCUCCAACCUGACAGCCUGUCCUAUAGAUAAGAGCUUGCCAGUCCCCACAAUCACAUGACACAUGAGCCAGUCCUUUUUUUUUUAGCCAAUUCUUUAAAAUUCUUCUCCUCUCUCUCUCUCUCUCUCCCCCGCCUCUCCCUCUCUCUCUCCCUUCUUUCUCUGUGUAUACACAUGCACGCGUGCACGCGCGCACACACACACACACACACACACACUCAUCCUAUUAGUUCCGUUUCUCUGGAGAACCCAGACUAAUGUACUUCCUCAGUAAUUGUUUUAGCAUUCUGGAUUCUGUUACUUUACUAUCAGCCUUAAAAUUGCAAAAAGAAGAAGGAAAGUUUUAUCAACCAUUUCAGACACUAAGUUUUCAGCCUUUUGGGAUCAAGGAAAAUACAAUCCAUAUGUUUUGGACUCACUUGCUAUUAUCCAGAACAUUAUAUCGGAGAUGGUUUAAAAUUUCUGGCUGGUUCAAUAUACGCAAAUCAAUAAAUGUAAUCCAGCAUAUAAACAGAACCAAAGACAAAAACCACAUGAUUAUCUCAAUAGAUGCAGA